rnacentral:rRNA from 1 species
GACGAACCGUCCUAACGUUGUUCGGAAUCACUGGGCUUAAAGGGCGCGUAGGCGGCCCUGUAAGUCGGGGGUGAAAGCCCACGGCCCAACCGUGGAAGUGCCUCCGAUACUGCGGGGCUCGAGGGAGGUAGGGGCAGCGUGAACUUCCGGUGGAGCGGUGAAAUGCGUUGAUAUCGGAAGGAACGCCGGUGGCGAAAGCGCGCUGCUGGACCUCUGCUGACGCUGAGGCGCGAAAGCCAGGGGAGCAAACGGG